UUCAUUCGUAGGGGUUCCUGAAGCUCUUGAGGAGAUCGGGGAUGUCGUAGGCGAGCAUGUCGUCGACGCCCUGCACCAGCUUGGGCUUCAGCCUCUCGAACUUGUCGAAGUUGUAGGCGCUCAGUGUCUCCCUGUACUCAUCCACGCUGGGGAAGUCGCCGGCCGGCAAGUGCAGCUCCUUCUGAACCUUGGCGAACUGCUCGUCGAGGGUGUCGAGCAGCCGCUGCUGCGCCUUGGCCUUGCCCAUCAGCGCCGGCAUCUCCUUCUUCAGGUGGCUGAUUAUGUGAGCAUGGACCUUGGCUGACCUCGAACGCUUCACGAAUUCCUUCUCACUCGACGGUCACAGGCUUUCUUUGGAAUGUCAUUCAGGUCGGAGAGCAGGUCUUCUUGUUCUUUCUCAAACAGUUCUUUACCCAGUGGCCCAGCUACUGUCUCCCUAAUGGGCUUGUCAUGACAUCAUACCCUAUGUACACACGCAUGACUUCUGGUGUGUUCAGAACUUUCCCAAGCGACCAUAGCAGUGCUCCAUAGACUCUCAUGAGCUGAGGAGCAUCAACUUGGUCUGCUUUGUUCAGAACUAUACGUAUUUUAUCAUCAUGCCCUUUGAGUGACCCAAUUACACGCUUGAACUCAUCACUGAUGUCAAGCUUAUGUGGAUCAAAUAGGAGAAGAAUUAGGUCACACUUGGCUGCAAACCAUGAUGUAACUCCAGUGAAGUCAUAGCUACGCUGUGUUCGCUGCUUUUCCCCUGAUAAAACUCCAGGAGUGUCCACAAAGGUUAUAUGAUCCAGUAGCUUGGCAAUGCAUCUGAGAACAUUCAAACUUUGAUAGAAAUGCUGUCCCAAAAGAUGACAAGCCACUAUAUGGCAUGUCUGCUUGCACGGCAAUUGUGUUUCCAGGGAUGCAUCUUUCAUCAGAACCUACAGUAAUAACAACAAAUCUGUCAGUUGUAGGCUCUGGACCAAUAUGAGCACCUGCAAGAGAAACAACUCAGAUAUUUAAAUGCUUUAUGAAUGUGGUUUUUCCUGUGGAAUACUGACCCAGCAACAUGACCAUUGGCUUCGCAUCGAAAUCACUGCUACAAAGGUGAAACAAAGUCAUCGAACUGAUAUGUUUUUUCUAGUGGCCUCAACUUCUCAAUGUAAGAUUUCUUUAACCCAUCGAUGAUCGAAGUAACUGAUCUUAAAGGAAUCUGCGCAGAGAAUAAUUAGCAUCAUGUAAAACUAUUUGUAAUAAUAUGUACUCAUAUUAUCAGCACCUGCGUUAUUGUUGUACCUUCUUUCCUGACUUGGAGUUAAACCAGUUGGCUGAUGCAGGCAAUUCUGACGGAUGACGUACUGCAUGAUUGGCAAGAUAAAAGGUGUCCUGACUAAUCUCAUUCCCAGCUUGUGCAAGAGAAACCAGCUGCACAUCGGCAUGUGCUUUAAUAAUCCAAGAUAACCCUGACGCUUGGAAUCAGCGAUUGCCCAGACCUGCUUCAGCUCGGGGCGGGAGAGAUUCGACAUGGCGAAGAACUUGAGCGCGUCUUUCCCCGUCACGCGCCCAUCUCCAUCU
rnacentral:sRNA from 1 species